GACUGGAAGCUAGAGAAGGCAGGUGACUUCAAUCAAGGUCACCGGCAUCUGAGGGACGAACCCCGCAUGGCCUUUCGUUGCUGGGCAGCACCCGGCGCGCGCGACCUCCGGCCGCUGGCGUCAGGGAAGGCGGCCCAGGGCACAGGUGGCGGGCGUCGGGGGCGAGGCGCGCGGUGGCGCAGCCAGGAAAUCCCGAGCCCACUGGGCGCCCCCCUCGGGAGCGCGGGCACGUGUGCAGCAGUUUACUGCGCGCCCCCGAGGGCCGGGGCUUCCCCUUCCCCGCCCCCUUGGCUUUCGCAGUCAAAUCCCGCUCUCCGCCCGCCGCCCGCGGAAGUCUCACCGCGCAGCAGCACCCCCAGCCCGGGCGGUUCCGGGGACCGAAGGGCGCGGCACGUAGGGGGCCCGUAGGAUCCAAACUGCGGAGGAGAAGCAGGAGGAGGGAGGAGGAAGAAGACAAAGGAGCAGCUUCUAGUUGCAGCUCAAGACCCGCGAGUUCACCCUCCGCGCCAAGCACCCAACUCCCGGCUCUGCCUACAGUCACCCACAGACCUAAUGAUCGACUAAGCGCCGUAAUGGCCCGAGAUGACACCAGGAGACUCCCUUGCUGUGCGCCUCCGGAAGACGCGGAACGUAGCCCCUUUCUCACACUCCUGGGACACAAAAAUACCCGACAACUCAAAGUCGCCAAACCACAUCUUUUCAUGCUUUGAAGACUUCUGCCCAAGGCUGUGGCAGGAGUAUGUCCAACUGUGAUUUGGGAUUCUUUUUAAACAUCGAAUCAAAGGGAAGAGGGGAGGGAUUCGCAACUAAAUGGUAGUUGUUUUCAAGCAAGUCUUUACGUAGCCCCAAACCUACUCUAGUAUUCGGUGAUUCAGCCCCAAAACAUCUCUGCCUGCCUUUAUGUUCGGAUCUCACUCCAUUAUUUGUCAGCACCAAGUACUAAACCCACAAAGCGAUCGCUGUACGGGACACCAAACCCAUACCUGCCCGUCCCCUACCUUCCAGGCAACCAGUGUCAAUCUCCUCACUAUACAUAAUUCCCAACAUCCCUGCCCGAAGUGAGGAGAACGGUAAUUUAAAUAAUACAGCGGGGGAGGAGAGGACACACUGUUUUUGAAAGACUGUAAGCAUUCUGCUGUUCCACUCUGCGUCCUUACACUUGCUGAGCACUGACACCAAAUUUAAAUGGCGUUCCUUCAAAACUGAUGUAAUUGUAAAGAGCUGUAAAGGGCAAUGACCUCAAGUGGAUGUUUUUUCCCAGGUACCCUACAAGGUUUGCACAAAGCAAGAAAGCAUCAUGUAACCGAAAUGCUGAAAAGUAUAGAUGCUGCAAAACCUCAUUCUGAGACUGAGAACUAUGAAUAGUCAGUGUAUUUCCUUCUGCGGUGCAGAAAAAGAACAACCAAAAAGAAAGCAACAAGGGGAGAUGUUAUUUAUUUUAAUGACACCAAAACUACCAAUCCUAGCAAUUUAAUAAAUUAA
rnacentral:lncRNA from 10 species